AUGAUCUUGCGGGGAGGAGGAGAGAGGAGCAUUAGCUAUGGUUUUAAGUCCUGGCUGAACUGGCGGGGGUUACAUGACCUCAGACGCAGGGAUAAGCAAGCAAGCCCUUGCCCCGGGAAGGGCUACGAUGCCUUUCAACACCCACACGUCUCUGUUGAGCUCAUCAACACCCUUUGUGCAGAGGAUGUGCCUGCUUCUCCUUCACCUUCUACCAUGAUUGUAAGUUUCCUGAGGCCUUCCCAGCCAUGCAGAACCGACUCACCGGCAGCUGUUCUCCCCAUCCGUGUGCAGGGAUGUCUCGGCCCGUCGAAGACCCAGGCGGGCAAAGGAGUGGUACAAGGUGUGGGGAGGGGUGGAGGAAGAAGCCACCAGCCUGGCUUGGAGGGAGCAGAGCCGGAAGGGGUGCCCAUUUUGGGGCCACUCUUAGGGCUCAUGGUAAGUGGAUGACCAUUCCCCACCCUCCUGCUCUGCCC
rnacentral:lncRNA from 1 species